AGCACCACACUGCCGACCAUUAUGACUUAUCAAAUGAUGAGGAUGAGCAUGGGAACAAAGAUGGCACCAAAUCAUACAGGUGCCGGAUGUGUGCGGUGACGUUCUUCAGCAAGUCGGACAUGCAGAUCCAUGCCAAGUCUCACAC